GAGGGCAAGUCUGGUGCCAGCAGCCGCGGUAAUUCCAGCUCCAAUAGCGUAUAUUAAAGUUGUUGUGGUUAAAAAGCUCGUAGUUGAACCUUGGGCCUGGCUGGCCGGUCCGCCUCACCGCGUGUACUGGUCCGGCCGGGCCUUUCCCUCUGUGGAACCCCAUGCCCUUCACUGGGUGUGGCGGGGAAACAGGACUUUUACUUUGAAAAAAUUAGAGUGCUCCAGGCAGGCCUAUGCUCGAAUACAUUAGCAUGGAAUAAUAGAAUAGGACGUGUGGUUCUAUUUUGUUGGUUUCUAGGACCGCCGUAAUGAUUAAUAGGGACAGUCGGGGGCAUCAGUAUUCAAUUGUCAGAGGUGAAAUUCUUGGAUUUAUUGAAGACUAACUACUGCGAAAGCAUUUGCCAAGGAUGUUUUCAUUAAUCAGGAACGAAAGUUAGGGGAUCGAAGACGAUCAGAUACCGUCGUAGUCUUAACCAUAAACUAUGCCGACUAGGGAUCGGACGAUGUUAUUUUUUGACUCGUUCGGCACCUUACGGGAAAC
rnacentral:rRNA from 1 species